rnacentral:ncRNA from 1 species
AACAACGCGUAGAACGGGAACAGUAAGUGGUGUGAUCUGUCCAGAGAGCUGCGGGAAGGUGCAACGCAGUCAGAGAAGCCAAUGAAACUCGCCCGGGAGCGGCAGGACUGAAAAGAUGUAGCGCUGCAUCGAGUAAGUAAGUUCUGACGGUUUACCUCCGUGAUCGGGUCGUACUGAUCGUAUGUGAUCAGUACUUGAGGUGGACUUCCGGCUUUGGCCAGGGGUCAACGAGAGUGGUACCGCGAUAGACAAGGUCUGUCGUCUCUUCG